rnacentral:rRNA from 1 species
GAUGAACGCUGGCGGCGUGCCUAAUACAUGCAAGUCGAGCGAACGGACGAGAAGCUUGCUUCUCUGAUGUUAGCGGCGGACGGGUGAGUAACACGUGGAUAACCUACCUAUAAGACUGGGAUAACUUCGGGAAACCGGAGCUAAUACCGGAUAAUAUUUUGAACCGCAUGGUUCAAAAGUGAAAGACGGUCUUGCUGUCACUUAUAGAUGGAUCCGCGCUGCAUUAGCUAGUUGGUAAGGUAACGGCUUACCAAGGCAACGAUGCAUAGCCGACCUGAGAGGGUGAUCGGCCACACUGGAACUGAGACACGGUCAAGACUCCUACGGGAGGCAGCAGUAGGGAAUCUUCCGAAAUGGGCGAAAGCCUGACGGAGCAACGCCGCGUGAGUGAUGAAGGUCUUCGGAUCGUAAAACUCUGUUAUUAGGGAAGAACAUAUGUGUAAGUAACUGUGCACAUCUUGACGGUACCUAAUCAGAAAGCCACGGCUAACUACGUG